rnacentral:rRNA from 1 species
AUUGAACGCUGGCGGCAGGCCUAACACAUGCAAGUCGAGCGGUAGAGCGAAGCUUGCUUCUCUUGAGAGCGGCGGACGGGUGAGUAAUGCCUAGGAAUCUGCCUGGUAGUGGGGGAUAACGUUCGGAAACGGACGCUAAUACCGCAUACGUCCUACGGGAGAAAGCAGGGGACCUUCGGGCCUUGCGCUAUCGGAUGAGCCUAGGUCGGAUUAGCUAGUUGGUGGGGUAAUGGCUCACCAAGGCGACGAUCCGUAACUGGUCUGAGAGGAUGAUCAGUCACACUGGAACUGAGACACGGUCCAGACUCCUACGGGAGGCAGCAGUGGGGAAUAUUGGACAAUGGGCGAAAGCCUGAUCCAGCCAUGCCGCGUGUGUGAAGAAGGUCUUCGGAUUGUAAAGCACUUUAAGUUGGGAGGAAGGGCAGUAAAUUAAUACGUUGCUGUUUUGACGUUACCGACAGAAUAAGCACCGGCUAACUCUGUG